AUUUCUCUGGUUUAUCAUGAACCAUCUUUUCCAGAAGCCUUCUACCACACAGCCCUCUCAAGAUAACUGGCCAUGACUGUGUCUGAUAGCCAAACUACAGAUAUAGCAAGAUUGGGAAGCCUGGAUCUUAUGAAAAGAACAGACAAAUAUAGCCAGAUAUACCCCUAG
rnacentral:lncRNA from 1 species